GACGAAGGAUGCAAGCGUUAUCCGGAUUUAUUGGGCGUAAAGCGCGGGCAGGCGGCCCGGUAAGUCGGCCGUGAAAGCGCCGGGCUCAACUCGGCGAGGACGGGCGAGACUGCAGGGCUGGAGCAAGGCAGAGGGCGGUGGAAUUCCGGGUGUAGUGGUGGAAUGCGUAGAGCUCCGGAGGAACACCAGUGGCGAAGGCGGCCGCCUGGGCCUUUGCUGACGCUGAGCCGCGAAAGCGUGGGGAGCGAGCCGG
rnacentral:rRNA from 1 species